rnacentral:rRNA from 1 species
AGUGAACGCUGGCGGUAGGCCUAACACAUGCAAGUCGAACGGCAGCACAGAGGAGCUUGCUACUUGGGUGGCGAGUGGCGGACGGGUGAGGAAUACAUCGGAAUCUACUCUGUCGUGGGGGAUAACGUAGGGAAACUUACGCUAAUACUGAAUACGACCUACGGGUGCAAGCAGGGGAUCUUCGGACCUUGCGCGAUUGACUGAGCCGAUGUCGGAUUAUCUCGUUGGCGGGGUAAAGGCCCACCAAGUCGACUAUCCGUAGCUGGUCUGAGAGGAUGAUCAUCCACACUGGAACUGAGACACGGUCCAGACUCCUACGGGAGGCAGCAGUGGGGAAUAUUGGACAAUGGGCGCAAGCCUGAUCCAGCCAUACCGCGUGGGUGAAGAAGGCCUUCUGGUUGUAAAGCCCUUUUGUUGGGAAAGAAAUCCAUCUGGUUAAUACCCGGGUGGGAUGACGGUACCCAAAGAAUAAGCACCGGCUAACUUCGUGCCAGCCGCCGCAGUAA